rnacentral:rRNA from 1 species
UACAGAGGGGGCUAGCGUUAUUCGGAAUUAUUGGGCGUAAAGGGCGCGUAGGCGGCCCAGCGUGUCUUCCGUGAAAUCCCUCGGCUCAACUGAGGACGUGCGGAAGAAACUGCAGGGCUCGAGGCCGGGAGAGGGGGGUGGAAUUCCCAGUGUAGCGGUGAAAUGCGUAGAUAUUGGGAGGAACACCGAUGGCGAAGGCAAUCCCCUGGGCCUGCACUGACGCUCAUGCACGAAAGCGUGGGGAGCAAACAGG